UACGUAGGGUGCGAGCGUUGUCCGGAAUUACUGGGCGUAAAGAGCUCGUAGGUGGUUUGUCGCGUUGUCCGUGAAAACUCACAGCUCAACUGUGGGCGUGCGGGCGAUACGGGCAGACUGGAGUACUGCAGGGGAGACUGGAAUUCCUGGUGUAGCGGUGGAAUGCGCAGAUAUCAGGAGGGACACCGGUGGCGAAGGCGGGUCUCUGGGCAGUAACUGACGCUGAGGAGCGAAAGCGUGGGGAGCGAACAGG
rnacentral:rRNA from 1 species